GAGACUCUUGUUACUUCCUGUGGAACCCGUGGAUUGGAAGGUUAUCUAGGCUGCUGCAGAACUCUUCCACCCUGUGCACAGAGAAGUACAUAAAGUGGGAUCUUUCUCAGUGGAGCAGUAUAUAAAACAGAUGCAGACUGAAGGAUGUUAGAAGCACAAAGAAGGUCAUGUGCACGACAUUCAGCUGAGUACAAAAUUCAACAUCUGGAAGAGGUUAAAGACUACACCUGCAGGUUUGUUGCAUGAGUAAAUUCCUGAUUCUGAGGCUUGGAGUUACAAUGAUCCCAUUACUCAGGCAGUGAGAAUAUUACCCAACACGUAGAUCUUCAAGGCUCCAGAUUGUUCUACUCCUGAUGUCAGGAGGAAGCUGAUUUACCUUUGGAAUGAGAUAACCUCUGGGAUCCCUGAACAGUUAAAGGGCAGACGGAAAUAAGGCUUGGCAAUGAAGAUGGACAAGGAACAUAUGCCAGUGCACAUCUAUUAUAAGCCAUUUAUCCCAGACUGUGAUGCAAGUGUGCUUAAGUCUGAAAUGCAAGUGACUCGUACUUACAGGCAAAAUACAUUCCAGCUGAGGAAAAAAGGAUUUUUGUUGCUGAUUUAAUGGAGUGACAGCCUUUCAGAAGUCUUUAAAUUCACCAUUUUCACUGAUGUCACCCUGUUACCAGAAAGGAGUCCUAAUUCUGACCCCAAGAGAAGGUCCUUAAAUCUCGUGCAAGAAAGAUUUCAGGAACCUAAAGAAAAGCAGCAAUAAAAG
rnacentral:lncRNA from 1 species